UACAGAGGUCUCAAGCGUUGUUCGGAUUCACUGGGCGUAAAGGGUGCGUAGGUGGUGGGGUAAGUCUGGUGUGAAAGCUCCGAGCUCAACUCGGAAAUGGCAUCGGAAACUACUCCGCUAGAGGUCUGGAGGGGGGACUGGAAUUCUCGGUGUAGCAGUGAAAUGCGUAGAUAUCGAGAGGAACACCAGUGGCGAAGGCGAGUCCCUGGACAGAUCCUGACACUGAGGCACGAAAGCUAGGGGAGCAAACAGG
rnacentral:misc_RNA from 1 species